ACAUCUAUCAAUAUCAAACUUUGGCCUCAGAUGACAAAACCUACAGUACAAAUACACACACUAUAAAAUCCAAUAGUUUACCUUACUUAAAUAUAAUAAGUUAUCUUUACUUAGUUGUUUUACUUACUAGGUUUUAUUAAGUUACUGCUAAUUUUAAGGCGAAUAAAACAACUUGCUGCAAUGAGUAAUUCUUACUUGAAAUAUUCAAGUAGCUACAACAAAACCGAUGACAUUACUUCACCAGUGAGAGGCAGCAGUGCGCUAAUGUGUUGCUAAUGCGCAACAAAACAACAGAAGAAGAAAGAAGGAUGGUUAGAGAGCAUGCCCAGCAAGCGAUGUUUUGAAUUUCUGCGUCGAAUUUGCUGAAACUAGGAAGAAGUAGAGAGACUGCUUGCAUUUUACCUCUGGACAAAGACUGAAUACUUCUACAGAAUAAUAAUAAGGAAAAAAGCUUGUGGCAACUAUCUUCUCUGAACAGCGAUCUUGUGAACAUGGGCCUCAGAACAAUAAAGGCAAGAGGACACUUCACACCCUACAACCCGUAAAAAUAACCCAGAUUCGACAGAACUACACACCCAUCUGAGGCCUACCUGUUUUACUUCAUGAUCACCCCAGAUAAUUCUACAAUUUACCCGCUUUUGUGCAUCUUCAUGACACGAAUGAAGAUAUAUAACCCAAAUCUCUGACACCCAAGAAACCAUCAAAUCAGUCUAUAUGAAUGGAGCUGAUUAAUCUACAUUUUGGGCCAAACUGUUCAAUGAAUUGUAAGGAGCAGUUUCAGUUAUAUUUCCACUUGAACUCUGUUAGGCAUGGUCUGAUGAACUGUUCUUGAUCCAGAGCUCUUAGCUGAACACUGAACCGUGCUGUAGAACACCUGGAGUGAUGUCGCUGCUCAGGGUUGGUCGUUUUUCUUUUGUCUAGCCACCAGUUUCUCUGUAGCUGGCCAACAUGCUAUUUGAGUGAAGUAAACAAGUUAAUAGUAAAAUUAAAAGAAAUAUUUAAUCUUUCAUAACAUGGGUGCUAUUUACAUCAGGUACGAUUUCUUAACUAUUGCAUUACUAAGGCAAUGACUGACACAUUUAUGUUGCAUUCAAAAGAGCUCUGUUAACAGCCCAACAGUGAAAAAUUAAACUAUAUCCGUAUUGUCACAGCAUGGAAUGGUUAAGCAUUGAGAAUUAAGAAUGGUUUGGUCUGACAGUGGAAAAGCGGCUCAAGUCUUCAAAAGAGACACGAUUGCUAUAUGAUCAACUGUCUAAAGUGUUGGGUAUAUAGACAUUCAGUUAAAGGACAGAAAUUUCUCAGAUUUCACUGAAAAUGUCUUUAUUUGUGUUCUGAAAAUAAACAAAAGUCAUGGGUGAGUAAAUGAUGACAUGAAUUUCAAGUUUGGGUGAACUAACACAAUGUCAUGGCAGUGUAGGCAGGACAGAUAACACUGAAAACUGAUCAUCCACAUUUCCCU